CAGUCGCCGCGGUAAUACGGAGGGGGCUAGCGUUGUUCGGAAUUACUGGGCGUAAAGCGCACGUAGGCGGCUUGGUAAGUUAGAGGUGAAAGCCCGGAGCUCAACUCCGGAAUUGCCUUUAAGACUGCCGAGCUAGCAGGUGAGAGAGGUAAGUGGAAUUCCGAGUGUAGAGGUGAAAUUCGUAGAUAUUCGGAAGAACACCAGUGGCGAAGGCGGCUUACUGGCUCAUACUGGACGCUGAGGUGCGAAAGCGUGGGGAGCAAACAGGAUUAGAUACCCCUGUAGUCCCUGUCUCUUAUAC
rnacentral:rRNA from 1 species